rnacentral:rRNA from 1 species
GGCCCUGUAGGCCGGUCCGCCUUCUUGGUGUGUACUUGCUCUAUGGGGCCUUACCUCCUGGUGAACAGCCAUGUCCUUUACUGGGUGUGGUUGCAAACCAGGACGUUUACUUUGAAAAAAUUAGAGUGUUCAAAGCAGGCCUUUGCCCGAAUACAUUAGCAUGGAAUAAUAGAAUAGGAC